rnacentral:rRNA from 1 species
CGGACGACGCUGGCGGCGUUGCUUAACACAUGCAAGUCGAACGGUGGACGAGGGCUUGUCCUCUGAUCAGUGGCGAACGGGUGAGUAACACGUUGAGCAACCUGCCCCAGACUCUGGGAUAACAGUUGGAAACAGCUGCUAAUACCGGAUACGAGACGGAGAGGCAUCUCUACCGUCUGGAAAGUUUUUCGGUCUGGGAUGGACUCGCGGCCUAUCAGCUAGUUGGUGAGGUAAUGGGCUCACCCAAGGCGACACGGGGUACCGGGCCCUGAGAGGGCGACCGGCCACACUGGGACUGAGACACGGCCCAGACUCCUACGGGAGGCAGCAGUGGGGAAUAUUGCACAAUGGGCGAAAGCCUGAUGCAGCGACGCCGCGUGAGGGAUGACGGCCUUCGGGUUGUAAACCUCUUUCAGCAGGGAAGAAGCGAAAGUGACGGUACCUGCAGAAGAAGCACCGGCUAACUACGUG